AAGGCGUAACGAUUUGGGCACUGUCUCAACAACAGACUCGGUGAAAUUGUAAUUCCGGUGAAGAUGCCGGAUACCUGCGACAGGACGGAAAGACCCCAUGGAGCUUUACUGUAGCUUGACAUUGGGUUUUGGUACUACAUGUACAGGAUAGGUGGGAGGCUUUGAAACCAGGACGCCAGUUUUGGCGGAGCCAUCCUUGGGAUACCACCCUUGUAGUACUGGGACUCUAACCAUAGGCCAUGAAUCUGGUCUUGG
rnacentral:rRNA from 1 species